rnacentral:rRNA from 1 species
UUCGCAAUGCCCGAAAGGGUGACGAAGCGACGCCGCGUGCGGGAAGAAGGCCUUCGGGUUGUAAACCGCUGUCGGGAGUUAGGAAAUGCAAGGAUGUUAAUAGCGUCUUUGCUUGACUAAGGCUCCGGAGGAAGCCACGGCUAACUCUGUGCCAGCAGCCGCGGUAAUACAGAGGCGGCAAGCGUUGUUCGGAAUUAUUGGGCGUAAAGAGCACGUAGGCGGCCGUGUAAGUCGGUCGUGAAAGCCUUCCGCUCAACGGGAGAACGGCAUCCGAUACUGCAUGGCUCGAGUGCGGGAGGGGAGAGUGGAACUUCUGGUGGAGCGGUGAAAUGCGUAGAUAUCAGAAGGAACACCGGCGGCGAAGGCGACUCUCUGGCCCGUAACUGACGCUGAGUGUGCGAAAGCUAGGGGAGCAAACGGGAUUAGAUACCCCGGUAGUCCUAGCCGUAAACGAUGGGCACUAAGUAGAGGGGUUUU